rnacentral:rRNA from 1 species
AUUGAACGCUGGCGGCAGGCCUAACACAUGCAAGUCGAACGGUAACAGGAAGCAGCUUGCUGCUUUGCUGACGAGUGGCGGACGGGUGAGUAAUGUCUGGGAAACUGCCUGAUGGAGGGGGAUAACUACUGGAAACGGUAGCUAAUACCGCAUAACGUCGCAAGACCAAAGAGGGGGACCUUCGGGCCUCUUGCCAUCGGAUGUGCCCAGAUGGGAUUAGCUAGUAGGUGGGGUAACGGCUCACCUAGGCGACGAUCCCUAGCUGGUAUGAGAGGAUGACCAGCCACACUGGAACUGAGACACGGUCCAGACUCCUACGGGAGGCAGCAGUGGGGAAUAUUGCACAAUGGGCGCAAGCCUGAUGCAGCCAUGCCGCGUGUAUGAAGAAGGCCUUCGGGUUGUAAAGUACUUUCAGCGGGGAGGGAGGGAGUAAAGUUAAUACCUUUGCUCAUUGACGUUACCCGCAGAAGAAGCACCGGCUAACUCCGUG